UACGGAGGGGGCAAGCGUUAUUCGGAAUUACUGGGCGUAAAGGGCUCGUAGGCGGCCAACUAAGUCAGACGUGAAAUCCCUCGGCUUAACCGGGGAACUGCGUCUGAUACUGGAUGGCUUGAAUCCGGGAGAGGGAUGCGGAAUUCCAGGUGUAGCGGUGAAAUGCGUAGAUAUCUGGAGGAACACCGGUGGCGAAGGCGGCAUCCUGGACCGGCAUUGACGCUGAGGAGCGAAAGCCAGGGGAGCAAACAGG
rnacentral:rRNA from 1 species